UGGGGAAUAUUGCGCAAUGGAGGCAACUCUGACGCAGCCAUGCCGCGUGUGUGAAGAAGGCCCUAGGGUUGUAAAGCACUUUCAAUUGGGAGAAAAAGCUUGUCGUUAAUAGCGGCCAGCCUUGAUGUUACCUUUAGAAGAAGCACCGGCUAACUCCGUGCCAGCAGCCGCGGUAAUACGGGAGGUGCGAGCGUUAAUCGGAAUUACUGGGCGUAAAGCGCGCGUAGGCGGUUGUUUAAGUCAGCUGUGAAAGCCCCGGGCUCAACCUGGGAACUGCAGUUGAUACUGGGGCAGCUAGAGUACGAGAGAGGGAGGUAGAAUUCCACGUGUAGCGGUGAAAUGCGUAGAUAUGUGGAGGAAUACCGGUGGCGAAGGCGGCCUCCUGGCUCGAUACUGACGCUGAGGUGCGAAAAGCGUGGGGAGCAAAACAGGAUUAGAUACCCUGGUAGUCCACGCCGUAAACGAUGUCUACUAGCCGUUGGGAGACUUGAUUUCUUAGUGGCGCAGCUAACGCACUAAGU
rnacentral:rRNA from 1 species